UACUGAUUAAGAUUGUCCAUCAUUUUGUAAUCUCCACCGGAUGUGUUGAUCUUCGUGAUGAGACCAGGCUGCAAUUUGUUCAUAAGCUUGCAUAAUAAUACGCCGUCUCUUAAAGCAUCCUCGUAGCUGACUUCUAAACAGAAAACGUUUAAUUUCAUUCUUUUCUUAUUAAAAUUUCAUAAAAUGUAAUAAAUUAUAUAUAGAUUAUUAAUUUAAUAAUAAUCCGAUACAAGAAGGAAACAAAAUUGACUUCAUAAAUGAUCGAAGGAGAUAAAGAGGAUAUCAAAGAAUAUCCAAUAAGAACAAAAUAAAAAGAGCAAGAAUGAGAGAGAGAGAGAGAGAGAGAGAGAGAGAGAGAGAGAAAGAGAGAGAGAGAGAGAGAGAGAGAGAGAGAGACGAAAGAGAGAAACAAGAGAAAGAGAGAAAGCAAUUUUGACAAGGAAAAGAAUGCGAAGGAGCGAGUUUGCACCAGGAACACAGAAUAAGUCGUUCCCGCCCUUCCGAAAACGCAGAACGAAGGCUCUUGAUUUUCAAGCGCGCAGUCGCGUCCAUAAUAUUCGGUUAUUGCACUCUACAUCGAAUGAAUAAAGAGGUUCAACAAGGGAAGAACGUUCUCGUACACACGCAACACGUACACCAACCAACACGCACGCGCAUACACAUCUUUUUUAUCUUUUUUUAAUUGCUUUCUCGUCUAUGCCACGUGUGGGACGAACGUAAUAAUAAAAUAAAACAAGUGAGAUAGGAACGAAAGGAAGGAAAGUACGACCAGCGCUCUUUCAUGGUGUCCCAUUAUGCCAAGAGAUCCGUUUAUAGAUCGAUGAAAUAGAGAAAUUAGAGAGAAAGAGAGAAGACAAGGUUCCAUCUUUACGCAUGUCAGGAUGGCCGUAGGAUAGACGAUUCUGAGGAAUCAGGCGCGUAUAGAAACGCAUCACAACUACUACUCGCUCCGCCCUGCAUACCAUUGCUGCAUAAUGGGGAUGGAAAUAUAUGCAGCGUCUAUGAAUAUGAAAGUUGCGGAGUUACUAAGAAAACAUACUUGGCCUCGAGUAUCUCUUCGCGUUUGCUGUGCAUUCUCAUCACAAGAAAUAGGAUUUAGAGGCUCCUUUCAAAACCACUCGUCCUUUCAAUCGUAGAAACUGUGAAACGAAAGAAGGCAUCUUGUUCUGUUUACAAGAAUAAUAGAGAGAGAGAGAGAGAGUACACGCGUGCCAGCUUUUCGAUAAACUACCAUCCUGAUCCUGCAAGGACGAUGCGUCACGUGGUUCUGCCUUGGAGUGGUCCGGAUAAAAUGCCUACCCUAAAAUCUGCUCGCCUAGUAUGAAACUGGUCGCAAGCCUGAGUUCUGGAUUGACGAGCGAUCGACAGCCGAUAGUUUUCGAAUACCUUUCGAUUUUCUUAUUCUUUGAGAAUAAACUAAACUGUCCAAAAUACGUUUCUAUCCUUGGGGACUCCCCCCCGAUCUCCUCACGUGCCAGGCACUUAUGAAGUCAUUGUUAGUACUCGACGUGUAGAAGAAUUCAUUGCAGUUUCAAGACGUUUUUAAGUCGCUUACCAAACGAAUAAAAUAUUACAAAAUAUUUUUUUCUUGGCUAAUUAUGGCCUAACAUGUGUCUGAUGUACUGUCAAGCUGUAGAUCAUAUUUUAUUCUUAAUUAAUUAUCUUUUUAUAGUAUUAAAAUAUUUUAUAAAAAUAAUUGAGAUUUUGUAAGUAAAUAAUGUAUUAUAUUUGCAAAUAAGAUUAGAGAAGUUUUAGUUUUAUAUAUAUAUCAUAAGUAGAUACUCAUUACUAUGCUUUAACAUUAUUCAUUAAUCAAGAGGAAACAGUUCAAUUGAAAAAUUACUUUGAAAAUUGAAAGUAUAUAUAUACAUGCAUUUGGGUUUCAAUUAUAAAUCAAAUUUACAGAUAGUUUUGAGUAUAGUUCAAGUACUCAAAUAUCCGAAUAGUAAGAGUACAUGUAUACAUGAUAUAUUAGAAACAGAAGAAAUCAAUUUACAUUUGGCUAAGUAGAAAUUAGGAAAAUAAUUAAUUUUAUGUUGAACUUAAUUCAUUUUUAAAUUUACAAUCGUCGAUCAAACUUAAUCUUCUAAUUAAAUGAGAUUCAAUGAUCUAA